rnacentral:rRNA from 1 species
UAGGGAAUCUUCGGCAAUGGACGAAAGUCUGACCGAGCAACGCCGCGUGAGUGAAGAAGGUUUUCGAAUCGUAAAACUCUGUUGGUAGAGAAGAACGUUGGUGAGAGUGGAAAGUUCACACAGUGACGGUAACUUACCAGAAAGGGACGGCUAACUACGUGCCAC